rnacentral:rRNA from 1 species
GGCGAACGGGUGAGUAAUAUAUCGGAACGUACCCAAGAGUGGGGGAUAACGUAGCGAAAGUUACGCUAAUACCGCAUACGAUCCAAGGAUGAAAGCAGGGGACCUUCGGGCCUUGUGCUCCUGGAGCGGCCGAUAUCUGAUUAGCUAGUUGGUGAGGUAAAGGCUCACCAAGGCGACGAUCAGUAGCUGGUCUGAGAGGACGACCAGCCACACUGGAACUGAGACACGGUCCAGACUCCUACGGGAGGCAGCAGUGGGGAAUUUUGGACAAUGGGCGCAAGCCUGAUCCAGCAAUGCCGCGUGAGUGAAGAAGGCCUUCGGGUUGUAAAGCUCUUUUGUCAGGGAAGAAACGGUUGWGGCUAAUAUCCWYGGCUAAUGACGGUACCUGAAGAAUAAGCACCGGCUAACUACGUGCCAGCAGCCGCGGUAAUACGUAGGGUGCAAGCGUUAAUCGGAAUUACUGGGCGUAAAGCGUGCGCAGGCGGUUUUGUAAGUCUGACGUGAAAUCCCCGGGCUCAACCUGGGAAUUGCGAUGGAGACUGCAAGGCUAGAAUCUGGCAGAGGGGGGUAGAAUUCCACGUGUAGCAGUGAAAUGCGUAGAGAUGUGGAGGAACACCGAUGGCGAAGGCAGCCCCCUGGGUCAAGAUUGACGCUCAUGCACGAAAGCGUGGGGAGCAAACAGGAUUAGAUACCCUGGUAGUCCACGCCCUAAACGAUGUCUACUAGUUGUCGGGUUUUAAUUAACUUGGUAACGCAGCUAACGCGUGAAGUAGACCGCC